rnacentral:rRNA from 1 species
UUUUGGGGGGUUUGACAACAAGGCUGACGACGGGUAGCCGGCCUGAGAGGGCGACCGGCCACACUGGGACUGAGACACGGCCCAGACUCCUACGGGAGGCAGCAGUGGGGAAUAUUGCACAAUGGGCGAAAGCCUGAUGCAGCGACGCCGCGUGAGGGAUGACGGCCUUCGGGUUGUAAACCUCUUUCAGCAGGGACGAAGCGAAAGUGACGGUACCUGCAGAAGAAGCACCGGCCAACUACGUGCCACCAGCCGCGGCCG